GUCAUUACUAUUAUUAUUGGGUGUCGCAAUCACUAAAGUGUAUUUUAUUUGCAGAUGAUACAACUGUCUUCAGUAGUGGUGAUAAUCUAGAACAGUUUCUGGACAUGGUGGAGAAUGAGUUGAAAACGUUUAAGGCUUGGUUUGAUGCUAAUAAGUUGUCGCUCCACCUUGGUAAAACAAAAUGUAUUAUAUUUGGAAAUAAACAAGUACUAUAAACAAUACGGAAAUAGAAUUAGUAAUGGAGAACAAAUUCCUAGAUGUUAUAAUUGAUAACAAACUCAGCUGGAAAUCACAUAGAAAUUAUAUCAAA